AGUGACAUGGCAGGCAUGAUGGUGUGGAUAGGGAUCAUCAAAGACUGAGGAGACACAUGCUCCAUUUGAGGGACAGAAAAGCAGCAGCAUGGCUGAGACGUGAAGAGGAAGUGCAGGAACGCCAGGAGGUAGAAUCAGAAAGACUCAUCGGCGUGCUGAAAUGGGUGUUGAGACCUGCAAACCUGGAGAUCACUUGUUAGGCGGCACUACAAAGCUGAUACAGGUCAAGUGUUUUCGCUGGAAAACUAAGAGCCCUCAUCCAGUAGCUGAUGGAAGCAGAAGCAGACACCCACAACUAAGCACUGAGCCAAAUUCCUGGAAUCCAGUUGUAGAGAAGGAGAAGUGAUGAGCAAAGGUGUCAAGACUAGGCUGAAGAAACCCACAGAAACAGCUGACCUUAACAAGGGGGAGCUCAUGGACCCUAGACUGAUAGCUGGGAAACCAGCGUAGGACCAACUCAGACCCCCUGAACAUGGGUCUCAGUUAGAAGGCCUGGACAGUCUAAGGGACCUUGUUCAGGAAAAGACUUAGGGAGCACAUUCCCCAUGGAGAGCUAAUCCCUUAGCCUAGAGAUAAGAGGGAGGGCCUAGGCCCUACCCCAAAUGACUUGACAGAUUUUGAUGAUCCCUUCUGGAAGGCCUCACCCUCCCUGGGGAGUAGA